CACGAUUUUGCCUCUCUUCUCUUUCUGUCUGAGUCACAUCAGAACUAUUUACUAAUAAAAUUUCAGUAAUAAUGUUACAUUUACGGCAUGAUAAAUCUGUACCAGCCUGUUGACUCUGAUUCUGAACCUGAAAAGGAAGGCCUGGCUGAGGAUGACAAAUAAGUUACAUUUACUGACAUAACAGAGGCACUCUCCAAUUAAUGUGAUGAUCAGUUUUUUCUUCCUCCUCAUCACAGAUGUGCAUCACAUACAAUCAACCUUAUCUCGUCAAUGAUGCUGAAAAGUGGUUGUCAGCUAGUCCUAAUAUUAAAGCUAUCUGUAGAAGUGGUUUUGCCAAGAGCAAAGUACCCUGGACCAAGGCAAGCCACUCCAUAGUGGCUUCAGAGCUUGUGGAGGACGUCAGUCGAAGAAAGCUCCUGGUGACCACAUUCACAAGGUAGAAUUUUUCUAUGAAGCAGUGUCCCGAAUCACUGAGAUCCCCAUCAGUGACCUGAACGGCCUGUGUGUCAAACUGGGAAUAAAGGGCUUCACCGACAAGGAGUACCAAUUCCUAGGGGAGUAUUGUGUUGUCAUGAAGCCGCUUACUAUUGCCUUAGACAUCUUACAAGGGGAAUAUUACUGUUUCUAUGGCACUCUCCUACUGACCCUUGAAGUCUCUGAUGUCUAAGACACUUGCCCUGAAAGUCAGCCUUUCUAAGAUGACAGCUGGCCUACCUGAUGUUAUUGUACAGGCAAUCAAGGCCCGGUUUGCUGACACACUUGAUAGCAGAGAUGCACUUCUGGCUGCUGUAAGUUUGCAGAAAUUUAAACUGAGGUGGAUGAGAGAGGUGGUGAGGAGAGAACGCAUUAAAGAGCUGCUGAUGUUCAAGUGUUGCACACUGCUUCCUGACCCCAUGGACACCGUCCUGGCCACUUCCCCACCUGUGCCCAUGGCCAGAGUCAGAGGACAUCAACUCAGCAGACAAAGAAGUGAUGGACUAUUUGAGGGCAGGGCAGGGGAUAGAGACCCUCAAUCAGUUCCCAAAGAUCAAAAACAUUUUUAUGAAAGACAACACUCUCACUCCAUCCAGCUUGCCUGUGGAAAGACUAUUCAGCUUAGGGAGUUUGGUGCUUACUCCAAGAAGGAAUAGACUAUCAGAUAGAAGAUAUGAGAAGCUUCUCCUAAUGAGAUAUAAUCACCAUUUCAGUUGUGAGCAGUGAAAUAGGCUAGUGGUGAAGCAAUAGGCAAUAAAAUGGGUUCAGAUUAAGUGUUUAAGCAGGAAGGCAAAUAGCAUAUUGCCUAUUGAAUUUAACUUAAUUGAAAUCCUACCAUUUUGAUUUGUUCAUUGUCUUGUGUUUUCAGUUUUAAAAGGCGGUCAUACAGCAUGCACUACUAUUUUUAUAAGUGAAACUUGAGGCAGUGCUUUAUUUCAUUCAUGGACAUCCCAUUAAUUGUUGUCGCCAGAUAUAGACCCACUGUAUAAACUUAUUUGGUCAGUGGACUGUAUAAAUUAAGCUAUUCAUCUGUUUAAAUUGGGACCAGACAAUUGUGUUAGUAUUAACCCUCUAUAUUUCCUCAUUAAUACAGAAUGUUUUGUGCCUUGAUGCACUAUGAAAUAGCCUAGUAUAGGUCUAACGGUUUUAGCCUACAUUUUAAGUUAAAUUAUUUCUGUUAUUAUUGUCAGGUUAAUGUUGCAGGGCAAUUGUGACAAACUUAGCAUGCAAACAUGUACAUUUGUGUAUUGAUAGAAAUGUGUUGGUACUUGUUGGCCUCUUUUUCAUCCUGCCGAUGUGUGUUUGGGUCUACCCGUUUGAGCGUUUUAAAGAUUUUAUUUUGGUCUUAACUGCAUUAUGAAAUAACAGAAGUUGUUCAAAAGAUUGUGUCUCAUCAUCAGUUUGAGCCAGUUGUGCUUUUCAUCUAGCCAGGAACCAAACUUUUACGGAUUCAUAGGCUGCAGAAAAAAAACUGCUAGUCUGAAGCCUUAGCUGCACUUGCUAGCAAUUACCCUGACAUUUACACAGAGGUGCACAUGUGAAGUCUGAAUUUUGAGGAGAAAAGAUGCAAUUAGCAAUUUUGUGGGGUGUAAUGGAAAAGUAAUAUAAUGAGUAGUGUAAUGAAUUACUGUUUGCAGGGAGUAAUAAAUAAAGUAAUAAUUUUUGAUAGCAGCA